CCUUGUGCUGCAUUUUUCGCAGUUGUUCCUGGUUAGGUCUUAAAAUGUAUAUAUUCUCACUUGGAUUCAUUCUAAUAUUAAUUCCACCAAGUGAAGUGCAGAAUCUAAGUCAUGAAGUCCACCUUAUCACAACCCGCACACCCGAUUACCUAUAUAUACAUGAACUUACGGUUACAGCUUAACAGCUGGCCUCUGUAGCUCAGUUGGUUAGAGCGCUGCACCGGAAUCGCAGGGCCGUAGGUUCAAUUCCUACCAGAGGACCUUGUG